AAUCAACGUUGGCGGCGCGCUUAACACAUGCAAGUCGAACGAGAAAGGGGAGCAAUCCCCAAGUAAAGUGGCGUCCGGGUGAGUAACACGUGGAUAAUCUACCUUCUGGUGGGGAAUAACCCUGGGAAACCGGGGCUAAUACCGCAUAAGUCCGAGAGGAGAAAGGCGCAAGUCGCCGGAAGAGGAGUCCGCGGUCGAUUAGCUAGUUGGUAGGGUAAAGGCCUACCAAGGCAUUGAUCGAUAGCCGGCCUGAGAGGGCACACGGCCACACUGGCACUGAAACACGGGCCAGACUCCUACGGGAGGCAGCAGUGGGGAAUCUUGCACAAUGGGGGAAACCCUGAUGCAGCGACGCCGCGUGAGUGAUGAAGCCCUUCGGGGUGUAAAGCUCUUUCGACAGGGACGAUAAUGACGGUACCUGGAGAAGAAGCUGCGGCUAACUACGUG
rnacentral:rRNA from 1 species